GACGAACCGUGCGAACGUUGUUCGGAAUCACUGGGUUUAAAGGGCGCGUAGGCGGGCUGUCAAGUCGGUGGUGAAAUCUUUCGGCUCAACCGGAAAAUCGCCUUCGAUACUGGCGGCCUUGAGGGAGGUAGGGGCAUGCGGAACUUCCGGUGGAGCGGUGAAAUGCGUAGAUAUCGGAAGGAACACCGAUGGCGAAAGCAGCGUGCUGGACCUUUUCUGACGCUGAGGCGCGAAAGCCAGGGGAGCAAACGGG
rnacentral:rRNA from 1 species